rnacentral:rRNA from 1 species
CGAAGAACCCCCUUUGGGCAACCAAAGGGGAAUUCUUAGUGGCGAACGGGUGAGUAACACGUGAGAAACCUGCCCCGGAGAUCGGAAUAGCCCAGGGAAACCUGGAUUAAUACCGAAUACCCUCGAACGGCCGCCCGGUCGACCGAGGAAAUGGUCAGCCGCUCCGGGAUGGUCUCGCGCCCUAUCAGCUUGUUGGUGAGGUAACGGCUCACCAGGCAACGACGGGUAGCUGGUCUGAGAGGACGAUCAGCCACACUGGGACUGAGACACGGCCCAGACUCCUACGGGAGGCAGCAGCAGGGAAUUUUGCACAAUGGGCGCAAGCCUGAUGCAGCGACGCCGCGUGGGGGAUGAAUGCCUUCGGGUUGUAAACCCCUUUCAGGAGGGACGAAGCGAAAGUGACGGUACCUCCACAAGAAGCCCCGGCCAACUACGUGCCAGCAGCCGCGGUAAUACGUAGGGGGCAAGCGUUGUCCGGAUUUAUUGGGCGUAAAGAGCUCGUAGGCGGCUCAGCAAGUCGGCCGUGAAAGCCUGAGGCUCAACCUCAGGACGCCGGUCGAAACUGCUGUGGCUAGGGUCCGGUAGAGGAGAGUGGAAUUCCCGGUGUAGCGGUGAAAUGCGCAGAUAUCGGGAGGAACACCAGUAGCGAAGGCGGCUCUCUGGGCCGGCACCGACGCUGAGGAGCGAAAGCUAGGGGAGCAAACAGGAUUAGAUACCCUGGUAGUCCUAGCUGUAAACGUUGGGCACUAGGUGUGGCGGAUUCAUUGACAUCUGCCGCGCCGUAGCUAACGCAUUAAGUGCCCCGCCUGGGGAGUACGGUCGCAAGGCUAAAACUCAAAGGAAUUGACGGGAGCCCGCACAAGCGGCGGAGCAUGCGGCUUAAUUCGAUGGUACCCGAAGAACCUUACCUGGACUUGACAUAAUGGGAAAAACCCUAGAGAUAGGUGUGCGUAAGCGUCCAUUACAGUGGUGCAUGGCUGUCGUCAGCUCGUGUCGUGAGAUGUUGGGUCAGU